GAUGAACGCUGGCGGCGUGCCUAAUACAUGCAAGUCGAGCGAACGGACGAGAAGCUUGCUUCUCUGAUGUUAGCGGCGGACGGGUGAGUAACACGUGGAUAACCUACCUAUAAGACUGGGAUAACUUCGGGAAACCGGAGCUAAUACCGGAUAAUACUUUGAACCGCAUGGUUCAAAAGUGAAAGACGGUCUUGCUGUCACUUAUAGAUGGAUCCGCGCUGCAUUAGCUAGUUGGUAAGGUAACGGCUUACCAAGGCAACGAUGCAUAGCCGACCUGAGAGGGUGAUCGGCCACACUGGAACUGAGACACGGUCCAGACUCCUACGGGAGGCAGCAGUAGGGAAUCUUCCGCAAUGGGCGAAAGCCUGACGGAGCAACGCCGCGUGAGUGAUGAAGGUCUUCGGACCGUAAAACUCUGUUAUUAGGGAAGAACAUAUGUGUAAGUAACUGUGCACAUCUUGACGGUACCUAAUCAGAAAGCCACGGCUAACUACGUG
rnacentral:rRNA from 1 species